UACAGAGGGUGCGAGCGUUGUUCGGAAUUACUGGGCGUAAAGCGCGCGCAGGCGGCCUUUUAAGUCUACCCGUGAAAUGCCGGAGCUCAACUCCGUGCACGCCGGGGGAUACUGGAAGGCUUGACUCCGGGAGAGGGAUGUGGAAUUCCAGGUGUAGCGGUGAAAUGCGUAGAUAUGCGGAGGAACACCGAUGGCGAAGGCAAUCCCCUGGGCCUGCACUGACGCUCAUGCACGAAAGCGUGGGGAGCAAACAGG
rnacentral:rRNA from 1 species